rnacentral:rRNA from 1 species
AGUGAACGCUGGCGGUAGGCCUAACACAUGCAAGUCGAACGGCAGCACAGUAAGAGCUUGCUCUUACGGGUGGCGAGUGGCGGACGGGUGAGGAAUACAUCGGAAUCUACUUUUUCGUGGGGGAUAACGUAGGGAAACUUACGCUAAUACCGCAUACGACCUACGGGUGAAAGCAGUGGAUCUUCGGACCUUGCGCGAUUGAAUGAGCCGAUGUCGGAUUAGCUAGUUGGCGGGGUAAAGGCACACCAAGGCGACGAUCCGUAGCCGGCCUGAGAGGAUGAUCAGCCACACUGGAACUGAGACACGGUCCAGACUCCUACGGGAGGCAGCAGUGGGGAAUAUUGGACAAUGGGCGCAAGCCUGAUCCAGCCAUACCGCGUGGGUGAAGAAGGCCUUCGGGUUGUAAAGCCCUUUUGUUGGGAAAGAAAAGCAGCAGGUUAAUACCCCGCUGUUCUGACGGUACCCAAAGAAUAAGCACCGGCUAACUUCGUG